rnacentral:rRNA from 1 species
AGAGUUUGAUCAUGGCUCAGGAUGAACGCUGGCGGCGUGCCUAAUACAUGCAAGUUGUGCGGUAACAGAGAGAGCUUGCUCUCUGCUGACGAGCGGCGGACGGCAGAGUAACGCGUAGGAACAUACCCCAAACUGAGGGAUAACUGCUCGAAAGAGUAGCUAAUACCGCAUGUGGUCUUCGGAUUAAAGCUUCGGCGGUUUGGGAGUGGCCUGCGUCCGAUUAGCUAGUUGGUGAGGGUAAUUGCUCACCAAGGCGACGAUCGGUAGCUGGUCUGAGAGGAUGAUCAGCCUGACUGGAACUGAGAACGGUCCAGACUCCUACGGGAGGCAGCAGUAGGGAAUUUUCCACAAUGGGCGAAAGCCUGAUGGAGCAACGCCGCGUGCAGGAUGAAUGCCUUCGGGUUGUAAACUGCUUUUCUGUGUGAAGAAUAUGACGGUAACACAGGAAUAAGGGUCGGCUAACUACGUG